ensembl:lncRNA TSBP1-AS1 TSBP1 and BTNL2 antisense RNA 1
AAAGAUCCAUGGGAGAAGCAUGGUUUCCUGAGGUCGCACCAUCACUCACUUCUUCCCUUGGCUGGGAGUGGGGGUUCCUUUGGCUCUGUGUCGCUCCCAGGGGGGCUGUCGCCCCAUCCAGCUUUUCUUUGUUCUCUGUGGGUCGAGUUGUUUUCCUGAUGAGUCCCAAUGCAAGUACCUGGAUAUUUCAGUUGAAGAUGCUGUAUUCACUUGCCUCUUUUGUUCCUCUCUGCCCCUUUGGUGCCAGUCUGCUGGAGUUUGCUGGAGGUCCACUCCUGACCCUGUUUGCCUGGGUAUCACCAGCAGAGGCUGCAAAGCAGCAAAGAUUGCUGCCUGUUCUUUCUUCUAGAAGCUUCGACCCAGUGGGGCACCUGUCAGAUGCCAGCCAGAGCUCUCCUGUAUCAGGUGUCUGUCGGUCCAAGCUAGAAGGUAUCUCCCAGUCAGUAUACAUGGGGAUCAGGGACCCACUUGAGGAGGCAGACUGACCCUUAGCAGAGCUUCAAUACCGUGCUGGGAGGUCCACUGCUCUCUUCAGAGCCAUCAGGCAGGGACGUUUAAGUCUGCUAUAAGCCCCCGACUGGGGUUGCUGCCUUUUUUACAGAGAUGCCCUGUCCAGAGAGGAGCAAUCUGGCAGUCUGGCCACAGCAGCCUUGCUGAGCUGCAGUGAGCUCUGCCCAGUUUGAACUUCCCAGCAGCUUUGUUUAUACUGUGGCCAUAAAACCAUCUACUCAAGCCUCAGCAAUGGUGGACGUCUCUUCCACCACCAAGCUCAAUCAUCCCAGGUGAAUCUCAGAUUGCUGCUGUGCUGGCAGCAAGAAUUUCAAGCCAGUGGAUCUUAGUUUCCUGGGCUCCAUGGGCGUGGGACCAGCCAAGCCAGACCACUUGGCUCCCUGGCUUCAGCCCCUCUUUCCAGGGGAGUGAACGGUUCUGUCUCGCUGGUGUUCCAGGCGCCACUGGGGUAUGGAAAAAAGAAAAAAAGCUCCUACAGCUAGUUCAGUGUCUGCCCAAUUGGCCACCCAGUUUUGUGCUUGAAACCCAGGGCCCUGGUGGGGUAGUCACUGGAGGGAAUCUCCUGGUUUGUGGGUUUCGAAGACUGUGGGACAAGUGCAGUAUCUGUGCUGGAGUUCCUCAGGCUCAGACCCUCAUGGCUUCCCUUGGGUAGAGGGGAAAAUUCCCCGACCCCUUGCACUUCCCAGGUGAGGUGAUGCCCCACCCUGCUUCGGCUUGCCCUCCGUGGGCUGCACCCACUGUCCAACCAGUCCCAGUGAGAUGAACCGUGUGCCUCAGUUGGAAAUGCAGAAAUCACCCACCUUCUGCCUCGAUCUCGCUGGGAGCUGCAGACUGGUGCUGUUCCUAUUCGGCCAUCUUGAAUCUUGCCUGUUCAUUUUUAAUUUUUUCUUUCAGUGUAUUUUCCUCUCAGUUCAGGCUGGAAAAUUUCAAUUGCUCUAUCUUUGAGUUCACUGAUUGUUUCUUUUGUCAUAUUCAUUCUGUUAUUGAAUCCAUCCAGUGAGUUUUCAUUUUGGUUAUUUUAUUUUCCAGCUAUAAAAUUUCCAUUUGCUUCUUUCUUUCUUUUUUUUUUUAGAAAUGUUCAUCUUUUUAUUUUAAGUUCCGGGGUACAUAUACAGGAUGUGCAGGUUUGUUACAUAGGUAAACAUGUGCCAUGGGUAGUGUUCAUCUAUAGCUCUAUCAAUGCUUCUUGUCUUUAAGUCUACCUUGUUUGAGAGCUAUGUCAGCAUUCUUUUUUUUUUUUAAUUAUACUUUAAGUUCUAGGAUAUAUAUGCACAAUGUGCAGGUUAGUUACAUGUCUAUACAUGUGCCAUGUUGGUGUGCUGCACCCAUUAACUCGUCAUUUAACAUUAGGUAUAUCUCCUAAUGCUAUCCCUCCCCCCUCCGCCAACCCCACAACAGGCCCUGGUGUGUGAUGUUCCCUUUCCUGUGUCCAUGUGUUCUCAUUGUUCAAUUCCCAUCUAUGAGUGAGAACAUGUGGUGUUUGGUUUUUUGUCCUUGCGAUAGUUUGCUGAGAAUGAUGGUUUCCAGCUUCAUCCAUGUCCCUACAAAGGACAUGAACUCAUCAUUUUUUAUGGCUGCAUAGUAUUCCAUGGUGUAUAUGUGCCACAUUUUCUUAAUCCAGUCUAUCAUUGUUGGACAUUUGGGUUGGUUCCAAGUCUUUGCUAUUGUGAAUAGUGCCACAAUAAACAUAUGUGUGCAUGUGUCUUUAUAGCAGCACGUUUUAUAAUCCUUUGGGUAUAUACCCAGUAAUGGGAUGGCUGGGUCAAAUGGUAUUUCUAGUUCUAGAUCCCUGAGGAAUCGCCACACUGACUUCCACAAUGGUUGAGCUAGUUUACAGUCCCACCAACAGUGUAAAAGUGUUCCUAUUUCUCCACAUCCUCUCCAGCACCUGUUGUUUCCUGACUUUUUAAUGAUUGCCAUUCUAACUAGUGUGAGAUGGAAUCUCAUUGUGGUUUUGAUUUGCAUUUCUCCGAUGGCCAGUGAUCAUGAGCAUUUUUUCAUGUGUCUUUUGGCUGUGUAAAUGUCUUCUUUUGAGAAGUGUCUGUUCAUAUCCUUCGCCCACUUGUUGAUGGGGUUGUUUGUUUUUUUCUUGUAAAUUUGUUUGAGUUCAUUGUAGAUUCUGGAUAUUAGCCCUUUGUCAGAUGAGUAGAUGCAAAAAUUUUCUCCCAUUCUGUAGGUUGCCUGUUCACUCUGAUGGUAGUUUCUUUUGCUGUGCAGAAGCUCUUUAGUUUAAUUAGAUCCCAUUUGUCAAUUUUGGCAUUUGUUGCCAUUGCUUUUGGUGUUUUAGACAUGAAGUCCUUGCCCAUGCCUAUGUCCUGAAUGGUGUUGCCUAGGUUUUCUUCUAGGGUUUUUAUGGUUUUAGGUCUAACAUUUAAGAGGAUACAAACAAAUGGAAGAACAUUCCAUGCUCAUGGGUAGGAAGAAUCAAUAUCGUGAAAAUGGCCAUACUGCCCAAGGUAAUUUAUAGAUUCAAUGCCAUCCCCAUCAAGCUACCAAUGACUUUCUUCACAGAAUUGGAAAAAACUACUUUAAAGUUCAUAUGGAACCAAAAAAGAGCCCACAUUGCCAAGUCAGUCCUAAGCCAAAAGAACAAAGCUGGAGGCAUCACGCUACCUGACUUCAAACUAUACUACAAGGCUACAGUAACCAAAACAGCAUGGUACUGGUACCAAAACAGAGAUAUAGACCCUCAGAAAUAAUGCCACAUAUCUACAACUAUCUGAUCUUUGACAAACCUGACAAAAACAAGAAAUGGGGAAAGGAUUCCCUAUUUAGUAAAUGGUGCUGGGAAAACUGGCUAGCCAUAUGUAGAAAGCUGAAAAUGGAUCCCUUCCUUACACCUUAUACAAAGAUUAAUUCAAGAUGGAUUAAAGACUUAAAUGCUUCUUUCUUAUAUUUUAUAUUUGUUGCUAAGAUGUUCCAUUAAAAAUAAUUUCGAAGUUAUUCAU